rnacentral:lncRNA from 1 species
CUCUCUCUCUCUCUCUCUCUCUGUGCCUGACGUCCCUGUUUGUCAAUCUACAACUCCGUGUCCAGGACUCUCAAGAUCGUUUCAUUAACUGUGGGAAGUUGAGACUUUCCCUUUCAACCUCUGCUCUGUAACAUCAAAGACCACCCUGAUCUCCACACUCUUAAGAAAGUGGGGGCUUCUUUCCCUCAGGAUCUAUAUAUGUUAUUCUCUGGCAAGAACCCUCAGCUCCUGUUUGUCAUUUUCAAGUCCCUGCUUCAGGUCUGUAUAACUAUUACAGUCUAAUCAAUGGUUCCCUAUUCUCCAACUGUCACUUCAUUUUUCUUUCUCAUGGGUCUUCUUUCCAGGACACAAAACUCUUUGGUCUUCCCAUGGGCAGAACUUGGCAGAGCCCCCAGAGGACCAGCCCUCACGCAAGAUACCUGGGACAGCAUGAAGAUUGAAAGCUCUUGAAAACUUGUCUUGUUGAUGCUUUCCAAGAGCUUGCAUCAUCUCUCAUUCUCAGGAAAUACUGGUGAAUUAAUAUAUGCAAGAGUCUGCUUUGAUGCACAUCCCUGGGGCUUCAGACACAGCACAAAUCAAGGAACCUUGGAGAGUCCAGCUGAUGGGAUCAAAUCACAUAUUGGUAUCAAAGUCAUCUCCAGGAAGAGAAAUAAACAAGGGGGUCAUCAAACUUUUGGCAUUAGAAAAGAAAUCUAAUAAAGAGACUAAUGAAGUGUUCUGGGCAAAAUGAGAAUCAG